rnacentral:rRNA from 1 species
ACGGAAGGCAGCAGUGGGGAAUAUUGCACAAUGGGGGAAACCCUGAUGCAGCGAUGCCGCGUGGAGGAAGAAGGUUUUCGGAUUGUAAACUCCUGUCUUAAAGGACGAUAAUGACGGUACUUUAGGAGGAAGCUCCGGCUAACUACGUGCCAGCAGCCGCGGUAAUACGUAGGGAGCGAGCGUUGUCCGGAAUUACUGGGUGUAAAGGGAGCGUAGGCGGGAUCGCAAGUCAGAUGUGAAAUACAUGGGCUUAACCCAUGGGCUGCAUUUGAAACUGUGGUUCUUGAGUGAAGUAGAGGUAAGCGGAAUUCCUGGUGUAGCGGUGAAAUGCGUAGAUAUCAGGAGGAACACCGGUGGCGAAGGCGGCUUACUGGGCUUUUACUGACGCUGAGGCUCGAAAGCGUGGGGAGCAAACAGGAUUAGAUACCCUGGUA